GAAAAUUACUGGUGAGGGUUGUAGCUGGCCUUCCGGGGCAAAUGUGCACGCCCGAGCCUUUAAUCCACACACACCUGUGAACUCACUGUAAGGGCCCGUAACAAGGCCCCUACGUAUCAUCACCGACGCAUGUAUAACAGAAUGUAAAUCAAUGUCCUCGCCUUGAAACAGCGUUGAUAAACUUAAUACAACUUUCAACAACGGAUCUCUUGGCUCU
rnacentral:misc_RNA from 1 species